AUUGAACGCUGGCGGCAGGCCUAACACAUGCAAGUCGGACGGUAGCACAGAGAGCUUGCUCUCGGGUGACGAGUGGCGGACGGGUGAGUAAUGUCUGGGAAACUGCCCGAUGGAGGGGGAUAACUACUGGAAACGGUAGCUAAUACCGCAUAACGUCUCCGGACCAAAGUGGGGGACCUUCGGGCCUCACACCAUCGGAUGUGCCCAGAUGGGAUUAGCUAGUAGGUGGGGUAAUGGCUCACCUAGGCGACGAUCCCUAGCUGGUCUGAGAGGAUGACCAGCCACACUGGAACUGAGACACGGUCCAGACUCCUACGGGAGGCAGCAGUGGGGAAUAUUGCACAAUGGGCGCAAGCCUGAUGCAGCCAUGCCGCGUGUAUGAAGAAGGCCUUCGGGUUGUAAAGUACUUUCAGCGGGGAGGAAGGCGAUGGAGUUAAUAGCUUCAUCGAUUGACGUUACCCGCAGAAGAAGCACCGGCUAACUCCGUGCCAGCAGCCGCGGUAA
rnacentral:rRNA from 1 species